AACGAACGCUGGCGGCAUGCCUAACACAUGCAAGUCGAACGAGACCUUCGGGUCUAGUGGCGCACGGGUGCGUAACGCGUGGGAACCUGCCCUUAGGUUCGGAAUAACUCCCCGAAAGGGGUGCUAAUACCGGAUAAUGUCUUCGGACCAAAGAUUUAUCGCCUUUGGAUGGGCCCGCGUUGGAUUAGCUAGUUGGUAGGGUAAAAGCCUACCAAGGCGACGAUCCAUAGCUGGUCUGAGAGGAUGAUCAGCCGCACUGGGACUGAGACACGGCCCAGACUCCUACGGGAGGCAGCAGUGGGGAAUAUUGGACAAUGGGCGAAAGCCUGAUCCAGCAAUGCCGCGUGAGUGAUGAAGGCCUUAGGGUUGUAAAGCUCUUUUACCCGGGAUGAUAAUGACAGUACCGGGAGAAUAAGCACCGGCUAACUCCGUG
rnacentral:rRNA from 1 species